CACGAAACUACCUUAAAAUAUCACCUUUCCUUCAGUUAUGAGUCUUUUUAAAUUUCAUCAUGUAUAGGUCAAUCACCAAAAUACUAAAAACAGGAGCUGUUUUUCUGAUUUUUCUAUCCUGGGUUCUGGCUUUUGAUGAGGCUGUGAAAGAUAAAACUUUAAAUCUUAAAAUAGGAUUCGAUUUAUACCGAGGAAAAAAUGGAGCUCCAUCAUUACGGAUACGAAACUU